rnacentral:misc_RNA from 1 species
UACGUAGGUGGCAAGCGUUGUUCGGAAUUACUGGGCGUAAAGGGCUCGUAGGUGGCCAACUAAGUCAGACGUGAAAUCCCUCGGCUUAACCGGGGAACUGCGUCUGAUACUGGAUGGCUUGAGUUUGGGAGAGGGAUGCGGAAUUCCAGGUGUAGCGGUGAAAUGCGUAGAUAUCUGGAGGAACACCGGUGGCGAAGGCGGCAUCCUGGACCAAUACUGACACUGAGGAGCGAAAGCCAGGGGAGCAAACGGG